CACACACACUCACUGACAUACAUACACUCACUCACUGACAGGCACACACACAGGCAGAUGCUCACUGACAGACACACACAGACACUCACUGACAUACAUACACUCACUCACUGGCAGACACACACACACUGACAGACAAACACACACACUCACUGACAGACACACAGGCAGACACUCACUGGCAUACAUACACUCACUGACAGACACACACAGGCAGACACUCACUGACAGACACACACACAGGCAGACACACAUUCACUGACAGACACACACAGACAGACACUCAUGGACAGACACACACAGACAAACACUCACUGACAUACAUUCACUCACUCGCAAACACACACACAGGCAGACACACACUCACUGACAAACACACACACAGGCAGACACUCACUGACAUACACUCACUCACUCACUCACUCACUGACAGACAAAAACACUACCUGACAGUUAAACACUCAUACACUCACAGAUUCAGACAUCCAGCUUCCUUACCUCCCUGGCGUCCAGUGUGGGGCAGCUCCUGCCUCCUCCAGAACGCUGUUUAGUG